rnacentral:rRNA from 1 species
UACGAAGGGGGCUAGCGUUGCUCGGAAUCACUGGGCGUAAAGCGCACGUAGGCGGCUUUUUAAGUCAGGGGUGAAAUCCUGGAGCUCAACUCCAGAACUGCCUUUGAUACUGAGAAGCUUGAGUCCGGGAGAGGUGAGUGGAACUGCGAGUGUAGAGGUGAAAUUCGUAGAUAUUCGCAAGAACACCAGUGGCGAAGGCGGCUCACUGGCCCGGUACUGACGCUGAGGAACGAAAGCCAGGGGAGCGA